AGAUGUCUUGUAUUCAUGUUUUUGUUUGCGAUCACUGUGGUACCGUGCUAUGUUCUGUGUGAACAUAGCAUAUCUGUACAUCGGAUCGCUUGCCUCGAUAUUAAUGCCACAGCGCCCAGCAAGUUGAAGUAAGGAUAAGCCACGGCCCACGCUUGCACCGAGUGUUGCGGAGUAGCAUAGAGCUGUAAAUGAUCUUUUCCAGACCAUGCUCUUGGGAGCAUAUGAAAACAGCCUACUGUGCAUGUUUUCACAUCUGUUAGUAUUGUGUAGUUGCACAGUGUCCCUUAGCUGUUGUACUCCACAGUACUUGUCCAAGACCUUCUGCUUUUUUUGUUUGUCUGCUGCUGACAACACAACAUUCUUGCCAUAUGGCAAAUACCUUGUACUGUGUCCUUUCAGAUGUGCAGUGCAGACAACAGAUUUGUGCUUGCAGCUAUCGUGUGACCCCGAGAAACAAUCUAGAACAUAAGUGACUGCUUCUCGAGCCCGGGCAAGGUACAACUCGUCCCCACGCAGAAGCUUCCUCAGUCUGGUGCGAAAACUUGAGUUGCGGUGUCACAUCCAGCUUGUGGUCUGCUUGUAUACGCGACAUCAAACUCCACAUCUGUUUCACCGGAACACCCAGCAAGGCUGUGGUACUGUUUGACGUGGUCGCAGUUUAAAAGGGAGGACGAGUGGAUCUCGAGAACGGUUACACGCAUUCAAGACAUCGUUAGCCACAGAAUCACCCAAUCGCACGACACUUUCCAGAUGUGCAGUGCAGACAACAGAUUUGUGCUUGCAGCUAUCGUGUGACCCCGAGAAACAAUCUAGUGACUGCUUCUCGAGCCCGGGCAAGGUACAACUCGUCCCCACGCAGAAGCUUCCUCAGUCUGGUGCGAAAACUUGAGUUGCGGUGUCACAUCCAGCUUGUGUUCUGCUUGUAUACGCGACAUCAAACUCCACAUCUGUUUCACCGGAACACCCAGCAAGGCUGUGGUACUGUUUGACGUGGUCGCAGCUUAAAAGGGAGGACGAGUGGAUUUCGAGAACGGUUACACGCAUUCAAGACAUCGUUAGCCACAGAAUCACCCAAUCGCACGACACUUUCCAGGUCAGGGUCUAAAUUCAACGGAAUGGAAUCUUGAUCUUGUUUCUCUACACAGCGCACAUGACUGCUGUUAUAGUUUGGAAAUACUCCUUUUUUGAAAAGUGCACCUUUGUUUUUCCGAGCGCGAUUGUUUUUAUAACUGUGCUGUGAUUUCUUUUGAAGUGAUCUCAUUUUGAAUGGUAUUUUAUCCAAGGUGUUUUAAAAGAUACAUCUGCUCAACACUAUAGACCUGUAAACAAUAAGGCCACUUCAUUGUUUUAGCAAAUUCUGGUCUUUUUUAUCUACAUAAUGAGUGCAGCAGAGUCAGGUGUCCAGAUAGUGUUUGUUUUAUUGUACCAAUUAGUACACAUGCAAAUACAGAGGAGUCAAACUUGUAUAUGGACAUAGGAUUUAGCUCCCUUGUGUACAGUGAAAACAGAAUUCAAUAAAGCUGCAUUUUGGCUUUAAAACACUGAAGGGCCAGUAGCUU